rnacentral:rRNA from 1 species
CCUACGGGAGGCAGCAGUGGGGGAUAUUGCACAAUGGGGGAAACCCUGAUGCAGCAACGCCGCGUGAGUGAAGAAGUAUUUCGGUUUGUAAAGCUCUAUCAUCAGGGAAGAAAAUGACAGUACCUGACCAAUAAUCUCCGGCUAACUACGUGCCAGCAGCCGCGGUAAGACGUAGGGGGCAAGCGUUCUCCGGAUUUACUGGGUGUAAAGGGAGCGUAGACGGUUAUGUAAGUCUGGAGUGAAAGCCCGGGGCCCAACCCCGGGACUGCGUUGGAAACUGUGUAACUGGAGUGCAGGAGAGGCAGGCGGAAUUCCUGGUGUAGCGGUGAAAUGCGGAGAUAUCAGGAGGAACACCGGCGGCGAAGGCGGCCUGCUGGACUGAAACUGACGUUGAGGCUCGAAAGCGUGGGGAGCAAACAGGAUUAGAUACCCUAGUAGGC